UAACGCCAAGAACCUUACCAGGUCUUGACACCCUGCUGACCGGUGAGUAAUGUCACCUUUCCUUCGGGACAGCAGAGACAGGUGGUGCAUGGUUGCCGUCAGCUCGUGUCGUGAGAUGUUGGGUUAAGUCCCGCAACGAGCGCAACCCUUAUUGUCAGUAGCCAGCAUUAUGGAUGGGCACUCUGAUGAGACUGCCAGGGAUAACCUGGAGGAAGGUGGGGAUGACGUCAAAUCAUCAUGCCCCUUAUGACUUGGGCUACACACGUGCUACAAUGGCGCAUACAAAGAGAAGCGACCUCGCGAGAGCAAGCGGACCUCAUAAAGUGCGUCGUAGUCCGGAUUGGAGUCUGCAACUCGACUCCAUGAAGUCGGAAUCGCUAGUAAUCGUGGAUCAGAAUGCCACGGUGAAUACGUUCCCGGGCCUUGUACACACCG
rnacentral:rRNA from 1 species